rnacentral:rRNA from 1 species
UACAGAGGUCCCAAGCGUUGUUCGGAUCCACUGGGCGUAAAGGGUGCGUAGGUGGUGAGGUAAGUCGGAUGUGAAAGCUCGGAGCUCAACUCCGAAAUGGCAUUGGAAACUACCUUGCUCGAGGGUUGGAGGGGGGACUGGAAUACUUGGUGUAGCAGUGAAAUGCGUAGAUAUCAAGUGGAACACCAGUGGCGAAGGCGAGUCCCUGGACAACUCCUGACACUGAGGCACGAAAGCUAGGGGAGCAAACGGG